GUUCCAUUCCUCACCAAUAGUCUUAUAAAAACUUGAGUUUAUUUCAUCAGCGAUAGAAUUUCUUCUUGUGUUUCGUCUCACUCACUUCUGUUCUCUCUCUCUCUCUCUCUCUCUCUCUCUCUCUCUCUCUCUCUCUCUCUCUCUCUCUCUCUCUCUCUCUCUCUCUCUCUCUUGCGACAAACAUUCAGAUCACUCGCUAGCUGCUGUAUCUAAUUCUCCGGGUUAAGUUUCUUACGUACGGUUCGUAUUUCUGGAGAAACGACCAACCGUUCUUGUUCGCGUUAUAGUAUGGCAGGGCGUGAAAUGUUUCCUGUGGUAGAAUGUUAUGGGACCGAAGUACUUACAAGUGAGAACUCCGAGACAGAAAUCAGCGUGCCAUUUUAUAGAGUCCGGGGAAGAUCAUUUACCCGAACGAUUUUUCGUCCAACAGUAGGUUUUGAUCUUCUACUUGGCCAAGUAAGAGAUGAGGCACCUAUGUAUGAAUUUUCGCCAUACUUACCCCUAGAUGCACUGGAAAACAGAGAAAAACUUCAUCAGUGCAUUCUUGAAUACCCACCUCCGGAAAACAUAAGGGUCAUACCCGAUCAUUUUAAUGAUCUAGGUUGGAAUUGGUAUCAUACUGCAACUGUGCUCUCCAACUAUGUCCAUGACGUUGUCUUCAACAAUAUUACCCCUUUUGCUGUUGAAGGUGAUGAAGCUUUUGGCACAGUAAUCCUUAUGAGACAGGAUAAUAGGUGGCACAGAGAAUCUUGGCGCCUAAAUGCACCAGAGCCUAUGUUAUCCAGAGAAUGCACUAUUUGUGGAGACCCUCUUACCUACACUCCGAUAGACUAUCUUCUUGGGUUGCAGGUUUGUCGACAUGUUUUUCAUAGAAGUUGUAUUCUUCAGUGGGUCUGGAGAAACUCUGCUACUCCUUCUUGUCCCAUAUGCAGGAGUCUAAUAUGAGAGAUAUCUUUACAUGAGUGGUGUGUGGUUUGUGAUUCAUGUGUUAUCGCUUGUUAUAAUUUUAUCUAGUCGUCACUUAUGUUUUAUGAGGCAAAAAUGGUUUGUGUGUAAUGAUAGAACUUGUUGGCUACGUAACUUUAUUUAAACUUUUGUGUAAUAAUAAUAUCAAGCGUUUUCUAGA